rnacentral:rRNA from 2 species
ACGGAAGGCAGCAGUGGGGAAUAUUGCACAAUGGGGGAAACCCUGAUGCAGCGACGCCGCGUGAGCGAAGAAGUAUUUCGGUAUGUAAAGCUCUAUCAGCAGGGAAGAAAAUGACGGUACCUGACUAAGAAGCCCCGGCUAACUACGUGCCAGCAGCCGCGGUAAUACGUAGGGGGCAAGCGUUAUCCGGAUUUACUGGGUGUAAAGGGAGCGUAGACGGCGAUGUAAGUCUGAUGUGAAAGGCUGGGGCUCAACCCCGGGACUGCAUUGGAAACUAUAUUGCUGGAGUGCCGGAGAGGUAAGCGGAAUUCCUAGUGUAGCGGUGAAAUGCGUAGAUAUUAGGAGGAACACCAGUGGCGAAGGCGGCUUACUGGACGGUAACUGACGUUGAGGCUCGAAAGCGUGGGGAGCAAACAGGAUUAGAUACCCUGGUA